rnacentral:tRNA from 1 species
GAAACAUGGGACUACAAGAGAGAGCUUCUAACUAUCUCUAUAGCGGCGCACCUCCGUUAUGUUUCUUA